UGAACAGAAAGGUGACAGAGCGUCACGUCGGCUUUAACAUGAUGUUAAUGCUCUUCAUGUUUUGCUUCUUUUAUCUGCCGUGGAUUAAGGGUGCCUCUCACAUUAACAGUGUCUUCCAAACGCCAUCUUUCAUCAUUAAGAGAAAUAAUGAAUCCGUUGCCAGUGAGAUCAACUGUUCGCACAGCAUAACAAAUUAUGAUGUAAUUCUCUGGUACAAACAGGAAGAUCAAGGAGCUCUAAAGCUUCUGGGAUAUCUGAAUGUAAAUUUUGUAAAUCUCGAGGACGACGUGAAAGGAAAAAUCAGCUUUGAUGGAGUUGGCAGUUCACAUUCCCACCUCAGCGUUUCUGAUCUGUCAUUAAAUGACAACGCUAACAGGAUGACACAUACAGUGACACUCCCACCUGCAGCUCUACGUAUCAACCAUAUGAGAGUCUGGUAGCUCCUGUCCUGCAGAACAUGGAUAAUAUCAUUAAACGAGGCCUGCUCACAUUGUCAGUCUUUGUGCUGUGGACUACAGGUCUAACUGAUGGGAGUGAUGUCACCCAGACCUCCAUACUUUGGAAACAACAGGAGGACAAUGCAACAAUGAACUGUAGCCACACCAAGGGUGCUCAGAUGUACUGGUACAGACAGCUGCCAGGAGAAACAAUGAAACUAAUAGUGUUCACAACAACUGGUGCCAUCAACAACAAUCAUGAUUUUGGAGAUUUCAGCAAAGAGAAAUUCUCAGCCACCAAGCCUGACGCUGAGAGUGGGACAUUCACAGUGAACAAUCUGAAGCCAGAAGAUAAAGGCUUGUAUUUCUGUGCUGUCUAACUGAUGGGAGUGAUGUCAACCAGACUCCAGACAGACUGUGGAAAAACACGACCGACAGUGCAACAAUAAGCUGCAGCCACACCA